UAGUCAUAUGCUUGUCUUAAAGAUUAAGCCAUGCAUGUCUAAGUAUAAGUAUCAUACAGCGAAACUGCGAAUGGCUCAUUAAAUCAGUUAUAGUUUAUUUGAUAAUCAAAAUUACAUGGAUAACUGUGGUAAUUCUAGAGCUAAUACAUGCUGUCAAACCUGACUUCUGGAAAGGUUGUAUUUAUUAGAUAUCAAACCAACAUUGGUGAUGAUUCAUAGUAACUGAUCGAAUCGCAGUCCGCUGCGAUAAAUCAUUCAAGUUUCUGCCCUAUCAGCUUUCGAUGGUAGUGUAUUGGACUACCAUGGCAGUCACGGGUAACGGAGAAUUAGGGUUCGAUUCCGGAGAGGGAGCCUGAGAAACGGCUACCACAUCUACGGAAGGCAGCAGGCGCGUAAAUUACCCAAUCCCGAUUCGGGGAGGUAGUGACAAGAAAUAACAACUCGGGCGGCGCAAGCCGUUGCGAGAUUGCAAUGGGUACAAUUUAAAACACUUAACGAGUAACAAUU
rnacentral:rRNA from 1 species